ACGAACGCUGGCGGCGUGCUUAACACAUGCAAGUCGAACGGAAAGGCCCUGCUUGCAGGGUACUCGAGUGGCGAACGGGUGAGUAACACGUGGGUGAUCUGCCCUGCACUUCGGGAUAAGCUUGGGAAACUGGGUCUAAUACCGGAUAGGAGCCAUCUUUAGUGUGGUGGUUGGAAAGUUUUUUCGGUGUAGGAUGAGCUCGCGGCCUAUCAGCUUGUUGGUGGGGUAAUGGCCUACCAAGGCGGCGACGGGUAGCCGGCCUGAGAGGGUGUACGGCCACAUUGGGACUGAGAUACGGCCCAGACUCCUACGGGAGGCAGCAGUGGGGAAUAUUGCACAAUGGGCGCAAGCCUGAUGCAGCGACGCCGCGUGGGGGAUGAAGGCCUUCGGGUUGUAAACUCCUUUCGCUAGGGACGAAGCUUUUUGUGACGGUACCUAGAUAAGAAGCACCGGCUAACUACGUG
rnacentral:rRNA from 1 species